rnacentral:rRNA from 1 species
CCUAGGGGUGACAGCAGUAGGGAAUCUUCCACAAUGGGCGCAAGCCUGAUGCAGCAACACCGCGUGAGUGAAGAAGGGUUUCGGCUCGUAAAGCUCUGUUGUUGGAGAAGAACGUGCGUGAGCGUAACUGUUCACGCAGUGACGGUAUCCAACCAGAAAGUCCAGGCUAACUACGUGCCAGCAGCCGCGGUAAUACGUAGGGGGCAAGCGUUAUCCGGAUUUAUUGGGAGUAAAGCGAGCGCAGGCGGUGGCGUAGGUCUGAUGUGAAAGCCUUCGGCUUAACCGAAGGAGUGCAUCGGAAACCGGGCGACUUGAGUGCAGGAGAGGACAGUGGAACGCCAUGUGUAGCGGUGGAAUGCGUAGAUAUAUGGAAGAACACCAGUGGCGAAGGCGGCUGUCUGGUCUGCAACUGACGCUGAGGCUCGAAAGCAUGGGUAGCGAACAGGAUUAGAUACCCCGGUAGUC